GAGGACGUAGCUUAGUAGUAGAGUGCUGGCCUAGCAUGCCAGAGGCCCUCAGUUCGAUCCCCAGCAUCUCCC
rnacentral:tRNA from 1 species